rnacentral:rRNA from 1 species
GAUGAACGCUGGCGGCGUGCUUAACACAUGCAAGUCGAACGAAGCACUUUAUUUGAUUUCCUUCGGGACUGAUUAUUUUGUGACUGAGUGGCGGACGGGUGAGUAACGCGUGGGUAACCUGCCUUGUACAGGGGGAUAACAGUUGGAAACGGCUGCUAAUACCGCAUAAGCGCACGGCAUCGCAUGAUGCAGUGUGAAAAACUCCGGUGGUAUAAGAUGGACCCGCGUUGGAUUAGCUAGUUGGUGAGGUAACGGCCCACCAAGGCGACGAUCCAUGGCCGACCUGAGAGGGUGACCGGCCACAUUGGGACUGAGACACGGCCCAAACUCCUACGGGAGGCAGCAGUGGGGAAUAUUGCACAAUGGGCGAAAGCCUGAUGCAGCGACGCCGCGUGAGCGAAGAAGUAUUUCGGUAUGUAAAGCUCUAUCAGCAGGGAAGAUAAUGACGGUACCUGACUAAGAAGCACCGGCUAAAUACGUG